GUUGUAUGGUUAAGUGACUAAGCGUACACGGUGGAUGCCUUGGCAGUCAGAGGCGAUGAAAGACGUAGUAACUUGCGAUAAGCCCAGAUUAGGUAGUAACAACCAUUUGAGUCUGGGAUUUCUGAAUGGGGAAACCCACGUGCAUAAGCACGUAUCCUUACCUGAAUACAUAGGGUAAGGAGGCGAACCGGGGGAACUGAAACAUCUAAGUACCCCGAGGAAAAGAAAUCAACCGAGAUUCCGAAAGUAGCGGCGAGCGAAAUUGGACUAGCCCUUAAGCUUUACACGCGUUAGACGAACGGUCUGGAAAGUCCGACGAUACAGGGUGAUAGUCCCGUAGUUGACGACGUGUGUUCAGUGAAAUCGAGUAGGGCGGGACACGUGAUAUCCUGUCUGAAUAUGGGGGGACCAUCCUCCAAGGCUAAAUACUACUGACUGACCGAUAGUGAACCAGUACCGUGAGGGAAAGGCGAAAAGAACCCCUGUGAGGGGAGUGAAAUAGAACCUGAAACCGUGUACGUACAAGCAGUAGGAGCAGGCUUUGUCCUGUGACUGCGUACCUUUUGUAUAAUGGGUCAGCGACUUAUAUUCAGUGGCAAGGUUAACCAUCUAGGGGAGCCGUAGGGAAACCGAGUCUUAACUGGGCGUUCAGUCUCUGGAUAUAGACCCGAAACCAGGUGAUCUAGCCAUGGGCAGGUUGAAGGUUGAGUAACAUCAACUGGAGGACCGAACCGACUAAUGUUGAAAAAUUAGCGGAUGACUUGUGGCUAGGGGUGAAAGGCCAAUCAAACCUGGAGAUAGCUGGUUCUCCCCGAAAGCUAUUUAGGUAGCGCCUCGGACGAAUACUACUGGGGGUAGAGCACUGUUAAGGCUAGGGGGUCAUCCCGACUUACCAACCCUUUGCAAACUCCGAAUACCAGUAAGUACUAUCCGGGAGACACACGGCGGGUGCUAACGUCCGUCGUGGAGAGGGAAACAACCCAGACCGCCAGCUAAGGUCCCAAAUUACUACUAAGUGGGAAACGAUGUGGGAAGGCUCAGACAGCCAGGAUGUUGGCUUAGAAGCAGCCAUCAUUUAAAGAAAGCGUAAUAGCUCACUGGUCGAGUCGGCCUGCGCGGAAGAUGUAACGGGGCUAAGUAGUAAACCGAAGCUGCGGCAAUAUACUUUUGUAUAUUGGGUAGGGGAGCGUUCUGUAAGCGGUUGAAGGUGUGUGGUAACGCAUGCUGGACGUAUCAGAAGUGCGAAUGCUGACAUGAGUAACGAUAAAGGGGGUGAAAAACCUCCUCGCCGGAAGACCAAGGGUUCCUGUCCAACGUUAAUCGGGGCAGGGUAAGUCGACCCCUAAGGCGAGGCCGAAAGGCGUAGUCGAUGGGAAACGGGUUAAUAUUCCCGUACUUCUUACAAUUGCGAUGGGGGGACGGAGAAGGCUAGGUGGGCCUGGCGACGGUUGUCCAGGUUCAAGUGCGUAGGCUUAAGAGUUAGGUAAAUCCGGCUCUUUUUAAGGCUGAGACACGACGUCGAGCACCUACGGGUGUGAAGUCAUUGAUGCCAUGCUUCCAGGAAAAGCCUCUAAGCUUCAGAUUGUAAGGAAUCGUACCCCAAACCGACACAGGUGGUCGGGUAGAGAAUACCAAGGCGCUUGAGAGAACUCGGGUGAAGGAACUAGGCAAAAUGGUACCGUAACUUCGGGAGAAGGUACGCUCUCGACGGUGAAGUCCCUUGCGGAUGGAGCUAUUGAGAGUCGCAGAUACCAGGUGGCUGCAACUGUUUAUUAAAAACACAGCACUGUGCAAAAUCGUAAGAUGACGUAUACGGUGUGACGCCUGCCCGGUGCCGGAAGGUUAAUUGAUGGGGUUAGACUUCGGUCGAAGCUCUUGAUCGAAGCCCCGGUAAACGGCGGCCGUAACUAUAACGGUCCUAAGGUAGCGAAAUUCCUUGUCGGGUAAGUUCCGACCUGCACGAAUGGCGUAAUGAUGGCCACGCUGUCUCCACCCGAGACUCAGUGAAAUUGAAAUCGCUGUGAAGAUGCAGUGUACCCGCGGCUAGACGGAAAGACCCCGUGAACCUUUACUACAGCUUGGCACUGAACAUUGACCCUACAUGUGUAGGAUAGGUGGGAGGCUUUGAAGCACGUACGCCAGUAUGUGUGGAGCCGUCCUUGAAAUACCACCCUUGUAGUGUUGAUGUUCUAACGUCGACCCCUAAUCGGGGUUGCGGACAGUGCCUGGUGGGUAGUUUGACUGGGGCGGUCUCCUCCCAAAGAGUAACGGAGGAGCACGAAGGUGGGCUAAUCACGGUUGGACAUCGUGAGGUUAGUGCAAUGGCAUAAGCCCGCUUGACUGCGAGAAUGACAAUUCGAGCAGGUGCGAAAGCAGGUCAUAGUGAUCCGGUGGUUCUGAAUGGAAGGGCCAUCGCUCAACGGAUAAAAGGUACUCCGGGGAUAACAGGCUGAUACCGCCCAAGAGUUCAUAUCGACGGCGGUGUUUGGCACCUCGAUGUCGGCUCAUCACAUCCUGGGGCUGAAGUCGGUCCCAAGGGUAUGGCUGUUCGCCAUUUAAAGUGGUACGCGAGCUGGGUUUAGAACGUCGUGAGACAGUUCGGUCCCUAUCUGCCGUGGGCGUUGGAAGAUUGAAGGGGGCUGCUCCUAGUACGAGAGGACCGGAGUGGACGAACCUCUGGUGUUCGGGUUGUGUCGCCAGACGCAUUGCCCGGUAGCUAAGUUCG
rnacentral:rRNA from 17 species